CUCAUCAGGGGAUCAUUAAGCUCUGCAUCAGAAUCCGAUCACAGAAGACGAAUUCUGUUCAUACUUGUCUUCAGAUGUUGAUGAGAGAUGUCUGGAUCACCUCCAAAUGUGGUUUGAGUGAUCUGAUCUUUAACUGUUCACAGUGCAUCUUGUUUACUCCUUGCUUUACACGUGGACAAGCGACACCGACCAGGCCACUGAAAACUGUCCUGAUUCUGAUGGGCAUCUUAUUCAUUCAGUUUCAAGUUUCCAUGAGCACUACUUAAUACACUGCAUCCCUAAUUAAUUCAAUAAGUAUCUUUCUACAGUACAUUCUUUCAGGUACUGUAACUUGCCAUAUAUAAUUAUUUGCUAAUUAUAACUAGUUACCACAAGUAAUUAUGAAACACUUACAGGGGCUUGUAUUAUUAGAAUGUGUGUCCCAGAUCAGGCCACAAUAUGUGGCCAAACACUGCCUGUAAGUUGGCAUGACAUGAAGCAAGCAUGAAGUUUUAUCUUAAAGAAUUACGAGCCUGAACAGUUUGCUUGUCACGAUUGGCCCCUUCCAGUCCUGUCCAUGUGUUCAUGUUGUGGUUUGAUCUCCCAUGUGUUCAUGUUUGGUUUAUUCCAUGUGUGUUUGUUUGGUGUUCUAGUCCUGCCCCUUGUUUUUUUACUCCUCCCCUGAUCGUCUCCACCUGUUGUUCACCUGUCCCUCGUUAUCCCUGUUGUAUUUAAGCCCUGUGUUUGUACUUGGUCUUAGCUGGUCUUUGUAUUGGUCUUUGUUUGCUGUAUUAGUCUUUGUUGUUUGAUUGUUGGUGUUUCUCGUCAUGUCUGCAUCUGAAUAUCUCUGUGUUGGCUCUAUGACCUUGGACUGUUUUGACCACAACCCUGGAUUUGCCCUCAGUAAAAGUCGCUUACCUCCGCACAUGCGUCCGCUACCUCGCUCCUUGUUACAUUGCUUGUGUGGUGAUGCAUGUCUGGUGUUAAAUGCUGCACAAUAAAAUAUUAUAACCAGUUAUACGUUUCCUUUUUCUCUGCUGCAGAAAGACGUCACUGAAACACAAAGAGCUUGAAUAGUGAAGGCAAUGAUUCUUUACCUCAACGGAGAUCCUGAAAACCUCAUAAGGGAGUAUCUUGAUGUUGGAGAAAACCAGGAGAUGGAGCAGACAAUUCUAGGAAUCUUUGCCGUAAAGAAGGACGGUGCAGAACCCACAGAUGAGCUGGAAGAUGUUGGAAUAAUCAUCGAAGGUGUGAAAGUGCUUUGUGACCUUGGUAACGUUGCAAAUGCAGUCGCUGUUUGGCCUCAUGUACGCAUUGGACUUGAGCUACCCACCCAACCCUAAGUACACAUUUGAGGUUCUACAAAAACUUGUGCUGGAACUGGACGGCAGACAUCCCUCAAGAAAGGCUCAAGUGCUAAAAAACAAACUGCUUGAAGGAACAACGUAGACGUGAAACUGCAAUUGAAUGUGGAGCCCUUUAUUUGAACACUCUGAGGUGGAAGGAGGCUUUGAGCUUGGGAAAUAAGCCAAUCAAUCUUUUUGGAUCCAUAUGUUGAACUGUCAUGGUUAUGCGUUGUAAGAUGCAUAAUGUCAAUGUUUUAACAAUGUUCACAAAAGAGAGACGAGACGAGCUUAACAGUAAAAAUACGGGUGUUGCAUUUUUAUGUCCAUAAAAAAUGGAUAUAAAAAAAUAAUGGCAUAAAUGAGUCCAAAAACAUCUCAUUUUGCCCAAAGUAGCAAGAAUAUGAGGGUAACCACUGAGGGUAAGCCACUGCCACCUAAUUAAGAUGCGUAUUUUACGUUAGUGUUUGAUCUCUUUACCAUGACAUGUUGGUUUAAACAUGUACUGUAAUAAUAUUCUGGUUAAGUUUGGUGCAUUUUGAUUUAUUUAUUUAUUUAUUUUAACACUACUGAAGCGGCAAGGGAAAGAAAACAUUUUUAUUUAGUUAUUUUAUUUUGAAAUAUUUGUGACUACAUUGGUUCGCCCUUUAUUUGAGUAUUGUUUUCUGCUUAUGCUAAUUUGACCUUGACAUUGAAAAGAGAUUUUAGAUUUUCAGUCAAAAUUUCCAGUGACGAUGUGUUUUACAAACUAAAACUUGGUGGGGAUCUGAUUUGACAGUUUUCUGACAUGUAAACUUUUUUUCGAAAGUUAUUUAAAUGUUUAUUUUCAACCGUUUUCGUUCUGCCCUCUGUUGGAAAGCUUACCUUUUUGGUCUGGGCAAGUCCCAUUCUGAUGCUACAGCUGACCAGGUUUGAAGUAAAUUGAUAAUUAUUUCACUCGAAUAAAGUGACUUCAAAGUGA